ACAGCCCUACGGGACGCAGCAGUAGGGAAUCUUCCACAAUGGACGAAAGUCUGAUGGAGCAACGCCGCGUGAGUGAAGAAGGGUUUCGGCUCGUAAAGCUCUGUUGGUAGGGAAGAAAGAUAGAGGUAGGAACUGGCCUUUAUUUGACGGUAAUUACUUAGAAAGUCACGGCUAACUACGUGCCAGCAGCCGCGGUAAUACGUAGGUGGCAAGCGUUGUCCGGAUUUAUUGGGCGUAAAG
rnacentral:rRNA from 1 species